rnacentral:misc_RNA from 1 species
AAGUCGUAACAAGGUUUCCGUAGGUGAACCUGCGGAAGGAUCAUUAACACGUAUCCACGUAUACAAACAACCCGUGAACCGUCUCCCUGGGGGUGGUAGUUGUCAUAGUGUGGUCAGUGGUAGAUGAAUCGAAAGGUUCAUGUCCACACCAUGGCUAGUAGACUCGCAGCUACAGACUACUUCCUCAGGCUUUUUUAACCUAUUCCCUGCCACUUAUUAUCAACCAAUUUAACCCUUUUAACUAAAUUGACUGAUACAUUUGAACGAGAGAAAUCUUGUUUAAAUCCAUAUUCAAACUAAGUACAACUCUUAGCAAUGGAUAUCUUGGUUCUC